GGAAAGCGAGGGAUUAAAGCGAAAAGAGUUCAGCUCCCUCGUUCCCUUCCCCUCCCUCGGGGGAUCGAGUUCCGCCGCACUCCGUCCGGCUCCGGUCCCGUCCCUUCCCUCGGGGGAUCUAGACGCCGCCGCUCCGUCCGGCCCUCCACCUAGCUCCCUCGUUCCCCUCCCCUUCCUCCGCCGCACUCCGUCCGGCUCCGGGCCCCUCCCUCGGGGGAUCUAGACACCGCCGCUCCGUCCGGCCCUCCACCCCAUGUCCACCGACGACCUCCCGCCAUCCUCCGACAUCGACGUCAUCAUCCUCCGUCGACAUCCCGCCGCCGCUCCGUCCGGAUCCGGGGCCUGCGGUCGGUUCCCACCUUCGCCCUCCACCCUAUGUCCAUCGACGACCUCCCCCCAUCCUCCGACAUCGACGCCAUCAUCCUCCGUCGACAUCCCGCCGCCGAGGCCGUUAGCGGCAGGAGGUGGGUGGGAGAAGGAGCGGCUGCAGGAGGAGCUCGGGCGGGCAGGUGGGUGCUGCCGCUGUCAAGGGCCAUCGUCACCGCGCAACAGCAAGUACAGGUAAUUGAAUCAAUCUACGCUGUUGCAAAUCCGAGUUGUUUUGGUUCUUCC
rnacentral:lncRNA from 1 species